CCAAUAGCGUAUAUUAAAGUUGUUGCAGUUAAAAAGCUCGUAGUUGAAUUUCGGGGUCAGUAGGCUGGUCGUGCCACAGGUAUGAACUGGUCUCACUGAUUCCUCCUUCCUGAUGAACCGUAAUGCCAUUAAUUUGGUGUUGCGGGGAGACUGGACUGUUACUUUGAAAAAAUUAGAGUGUUUAAAGCAGGCUAACGCUUGAAUACAUUAGCAUGGAAUACUGAAAUAGGACGUUCGGUCUUAUUUUGUUGGUUUCUCAGAUUGACGUAAUGAUUAAU
rnacentral:rRNA from 1 species